AUUUUGAAGGCCUGGAUGUUAAGUGCCAAGAGAAUUUGGGCAGGGCACUGAUGGCAAAUGUUAUAUCUUCCCUGCACUCUCUCUUAGGAAACUACUGAAGAAUGUGCUCCACCAAAACAGUGUUGUGAGUCAAGAAAGAGGAAGAGGCGGAAUUCAGGAACCAGAGCACUCAACACAGAGGUGAAGAGAGUCCCCAGGAUGUGGGUAAAGGGAAGUCCCAAGAUGACAGAUGCACAGCAGGCCUAGAUCAGAAGAAAAGCUAUGAGCAACUGGGAAAUUAAAACUGAAAUUCCUUUG
rnacentral:lncRNA from 1 species